GAUGUCUCAGCCUUCACUAUGGGCAACAGAUUCAGAAGAACAGCAAUGUAAAAAUGGAGACCUCACACCUCCAAAUUAGGACUGCAAUCUAACCAUGCUACAGCAGGUCAGGACAAGCACGGCAGAGCAAGAACAAAAUCUACCCGGAUGGUGCAUUCACUUGUGGCCUGUCAGUUGCUCCCUGAUUGUUGUUGAGCACAAACAACAUAGGACAGGGAAUGCUACAAGAGCCAAGCAUAACUGUCAUCAGGGAGGCUUCACCCAGCAACUGAUGGAAACAGAUGCAGAGACCCACAGAAAAACAGUAGACGGAGCUCCGGGGAUCUGGUGGAAGAGAAGGGAGGAUUGAAGGAACCAGAGGGGUCAAAGACACCACAAGUAAACCUAGAGAAUCAACUAACCUGAGUCCAUAGGGGCUCGCAGAGACUGAACCACCAACCAGAGAAAUGCAUGGAAUAAACCUAGGCUCCCUACACACAUGU
rnacentral:lncRNA from 1 species